GGGCGAAAGCCUGAUGGAGCAACGCCGCGUGAGUGAAGAAGGAUUUCGGUUCGUAAAACUCUGUUGUAAGGGAAGAACAAGUACAGUAGUAACUGGCUGUACCUUGACGGUACCUUAUUAGAAAGCCACGGCUAACUACGUGCCAGCAGCCGCGGUAAUACGUAGGUGGCAAGCGUUGUCCGAAAUUAUUGGGCGUAAAGCGCGCGCAGGUAGUUUCUUAAGUCUGAUGUGAAAGCCCACGGCUCAACCGUGGAGGGUCAUUGGAAACUGGGAGACUUGAGUGCAGAAGAGGAUAGUGGAAUUCCAAGUGUAGCGGUGAAAUGCGUAGAGAUUUGGAGGAACACCAGUGGCGAAGGCGACUAUCUGGUCUGUAACUGACACUGAGGCGCGAAAGCGUGGGGAGCAAACAGGAUUAGAUACCCUGGUAGUCCACGCCGUAAACGAUGAGUGCUAAGUGUUAGGGGGUUUCCGCCCCUUAGUGCUGCAGCUAACGCAUUAAGCACUCCGCCUGGGGAGUACGGUCGCAAGACUGAAACU
rnacentral:rRNA from 1 species